rnacentral:other from 2 species
UUAAUUCUGAUGUGCCCGUGAAGCUUAUAUGUUCAACCGACAUAAUCAAUAAGGGAUUUUCAAAAUAUUAUUUGUGAAUAUGGAACUUCCGUUUAGUAUAGAAGUAGAUAGAAGCAAAUUGAGAAAAACCCACCUGCUAUAGUGCGGGUGUGACUUUUAAGUGUGGCGACACGUCGGAAGUAUA